AGUUUGAUCCUGGCUCAGGAUGAACGCUAGCUACAGGCUUAACACAUGCAAGUCGAGGGGCCUGGGAAAAAACUUUUCUUUUUCGCGCGCACGCGCACAGGGUGUAAUAUAGGUUCCAACCCGCCUUUACUCGGGGAACCCUUUGAAAGGAAAAUUAUACCCCGGAGGAUUAAUGUUCCGCAUGGUUUCAAUAUAAAAGGUUCCGGUAAAGGAUGGGGAGCGUUCCCAUUGGGUUGCGGUUGAGUAACGGCUCACCAAGCCUCGAAGGAUAGGGUUUUGAGAGGAAGGUCCCCCACAUUGGAACUGAGACACGGUCCAAACUCCUACGGGAGGCAGCAGUGAGGAAUAUUGGUCAAUGGGCGCUAGCCUGAACCAGCCAAGUAGCGUGAAGGAUGAAGGCUCUAUGGGUCGUAAACUUCUUUUAUAUAAGAAUAAAGUGCAGUAUGUAUACUGUUUUGUAUGUAUUAUAUGAAUAAGGAUCGGCUAACUCCGUGCCAGCAGCCGCGGUAAUACGGAGGAUCCGAGCGUUAUCCGGAUUUAUUGGGUUUAAAGGGAGCGUAGGUGGACUGGUAAGUCAGUUGUGAAAGUUUGCGGCUCAACCGUAAAAUUGCAGUUGAUACUGUCAGUCUUGAGUACAGUAGAGGUGGGCGGAAUUCGUGGUGUAGCGGUGAAAUGCUUAGAUAUCACGAAGAACUCCGAUUGCGAAGGCAGCUCACUGGACUGCAACUGACACUGAUGCUCGAAAGUGUGGGUAUCAAACAGGAUUAGAUACCCUGGUAGUCCACACAGUAAACGAUGAAUACUCGCUGUUUGCGAUAUACAGUAAGCGGCCAAGCGAAAGCAUUAAGUAUUCCACCUGGGGAGUACGCCGGCAACGGUGAAACUCAAAGGAAUUGACGGGGGCCCGCACAAGCGGAGGAACAUGUGGUUUAAUUCGAUGAUACGCGAGGAACCUUACCCGGGCUUAAAUUGCAGUGGAAUGAUGUGGAAACAUGUCAGUGAGCAAUCACCGCUGUGAAGGUGCUGCAUGGUUGUCGUCAGCUCGUGCCGUGAGGUGUCGGCUUAAGUGCCAUAACGAGCGCAACCCUUAUCUUCAGUUACUAACAGGUCAUGCUGAGGACUCUGGAGAGACUGCCGUCGUAAGAUGUGAGGAAGGUGGGGAUGACGUCAAAUCAGCACGGCCCUUACGUCCGGGGCUACACACGUGUUACAAUGGGGGGUACAGAAGGCAGCUAGCGGGUGACCGUAUGCUAAUCCCAAAAUCCUCUCUCAGUUCGGAUCGAAGUCUGCAACCCGACUUCGUGAAGCUGGAUUCGCUAGUAAUCGCGCAUCAGCCACGGCGCGGUGAAUACGUUCCCGGGCCUUGCACACACCGCCCGUC
rnacentral:rRNA from 1 species